CGAGCGAACGGACGAGAAGCUUGCUUCUCUGAUGUUAGCGGCGGACGGGUGAGUAACACGUGGAUAACCUACCUAUAAGACUGGGAUAACUUCGGGAAACCGGAGCUAAUACCGGAUAAUAUUUUGAACCGCAUGGUUCAAAAGUGAAAGACGGUCUUGCUGUCACUUAUAGAUGGAUCCGCGCUGCAUUAGCUAGUUGGUAAGGUAACGGCUUACCAAGGCAACGAUGCAUAGCCGACCUGAGAGGGUGAUCGGCCACACUGGAACUGAGACACGGUCCAGACUCCUACGGGAGGCAGCAGUAGGGAAUCUUCCGCAAUGGGCGAAAGCCUGACGGAGCAACGCCGCGUGAGUGAUGAAGGUCUUCGGAUCGUAAAACUCUGUUAUUAGGGAAGAACAUAUGUGUAAGUAACUGUGCACAUCUUGACGGUACCUAAUCAGAAAGCCACGGCUAACUACGUGCCAGCAGCCGCGGUAAUACGUAGGUGGCAAGCGUUAUCCGGAAUUAUUGGGCGUAAAGCGCGCGUAGGCGGUUUCUUAAGUCUGAUGUGAAAGCCCACGGCUCAACCGUGGAGGGUCAUUGGAAACUGGAAAACUUGAGUGCAGAAGAGGAAAGUGGAAUUCCAUGUGUAGCGGUGAAAUGCGCAGAGAUAUGGAGGAACACCAGUGGCGAAGGCGACUUUCUGGUCUGUAACUGACGCUGAUGUGCGAAAGCGUGGGGAUCAAACAGGAUU
rnacentral:rRNA from 1 species